AGCAGUCAGCCGGGCAAACCAACGCACCAGUCACUUCUGCUCAGGCAAAACCCCAUGGGAGGAAGCUGGGAGAGAAAAGAGAACCCAGCACAAUUUGCCUGUCUAGCACCAGUUCCCUAAACCUGCUGGUUUUAAAUGCACGGCUUUUUGAAGAUUUUUUUUUUGGCAGUUCUGCAAACCUUAGCUCUUUGAGAGAGGGGGACGGAGGCAGAAGAAGAUGGAAAGAAAAUGGUGAACUCUGAUCUGCUGCCCUGGGAGAGGAAAGGCACACUGUCGUUAUAGCGCAUUGGAGGGACCUGGAGGGACAGAGAGCCACUCAACCCUGGUGAAAGCAAGAACCAACUCCGGGCAGAUAAAAUCUGGUUGCUGAGCUCCUCGACUGUACCUUUAAAUCUAAAACAGAAAUAAAAGAAAGGAAAGAAAAGGCAUGUAAAGAAGUUGGAUGUAAACAGUUUUGAGUAUGAGAAUGGCAUUACCUUCUUUUAGAACUAUGUGCCACAUGGAGCGAGUGGAGGAUGGAAACAUACAACAGAAACUCACCUGAUGGUGCUCCUACCCAUGAUGGUGCUCCUACCCUUCUGAUGAUGCUUCUACCCAUCUGAUGGUGCUCCUACCCAUCUGAUGGUGCUCCUACCCACCUGAUGGUGCUCCUACCCAUCUGAUGGUGCUCCUACCCACCUGAUGGUGCUCCUACCCAUCUGAUGGUGCUUCUACCCAUCUGAAGAUGCUCCUACCCUUCUGAUGAUGCUCCUACCCUUCUGAUGAUGCUUCUACCCAUCUGAUGAUGCUCCUACCCAUCUGAUGAUGCUCCUACCCUUCUGAUGGUGCUCCUACCCAUCUGAUGAUGCUCCUAUCCUUCUGAUGAUGCUCCUACCCAUCUGAUGAUGCUCCUACCUCUAGGACCUGGCAGCGCUGGCACUGAGGUAACACAGUCAUGCAGAGAUGUCAGGGGCUAAUAACCCUUACAGUUCUAAAGGUCUCCUUGCUCUGAGAACACACCAUCCUUCAUCUCCUUUUCCAGAAUCCUCCCCCCUACCUACACUCCCCCUCUUUGUAUCUCCCAGGACUAGAGGCUGGCUUGCUUUCUCUCUCAUGUUUUCUAUUGCUCUUUCCCCAUAUGGACACAGUCUAAUUUAAACCAGUAGGAAAUAAACUACAUAGUGGAGCAUGCCUGCAAUCCCAGCACUUGGGUGGUAAUGCCAAGAGGAUCAGGAGUUAAAGGUCAUAGUUAAUUCAAGGCCAGUUUGGGAUUACUUGAGACUUUGUUUCAAAAAAACAAUCAAAGAGGAAAAGGAAAGUACCCUACAACAUUCCAUCCCUCUAGAGGCCUCCCUUCCACAAUUCUUAAAAUAGCUAUCAAUGCAUGCUACUUCCUUUAAUCACUUUCUUCUUAUUUAUAUUAACAUGCAAUGAAAGCACAGAAUAUAUAAAGAUAUAUGUAGGUGUGUAAUAAAUGUAGAUAUAUGAUUUAAAUAAUAGAACACCCAUUAAAGUCACUAAUUGUUCUGAAAUGUCUAUUUUUUGUUUUCUUAUAUAAGCAGUCUUCACAUGUCACUGGAGCACAUGAAUUCCUAGAUAGGGAUCACAUGUACUAGCCUCCCUUGUAGCUAGGUGUAUUUGAUGGUUAAUCUACUGUAUCAUCUUGAUUGGAUUUGGAAUCACAUAGGAGACACACCUUGUGUGGGAGGGUGUUCCUAGGGGAAUUUAGUGAAGAUGAAAGACCCACUCUGAAUGUGUAAAGUACCAUCCUAUGGACUGGGGUCCCAGAUUGAAUAAAAGGGUGGGGAGGAAGUAUACUGAGCACCAGCAUUCAUCUUUUUGGCUCUGAUUAUGGAUGCAAUGAGACUGGCCAUGCUAUGUUCCUGCUACAUGUUCAUUACCAUGGUGAAUGGUAUCCCCACAAACUGUGAGCCAAACUGUCAUCUUCAUUCCUUAAGUUGUUUCCUUUAGGUCACAGCAAUGAAAAAAGUAACAGCUACAGCGCAGUAUACAGUAAGUCAGGUGACUGGCAGUGCACAAAGGAGAGAAGACCAUGGCUCUGGUCACAUCCUUCACAACAGAGCUGUUGUCUGGAUUGUCCCUCUGUAGGGACAAGACUACAGACAAGAGCAAGGACUGGAGCUGGAGAGGCUCCAUGCUGAGUCGUCAGAGCUGCCCUGUCUGUUCUGGAACACUGACCACAGAACACUGAACCAUCCUGUAGCUGAAGUAAUACAGCUCUCCACACAGAUUGAGACACUGGCCACCACCAGGACUUAGAAGAUGCAAGUGUCAACCAGUCAUACUCCCCUAGAGAUCCAUGGUCUCUAGGAAGUGCUCAGCGAAUUCAUGGAAAAAGUGCUCACUGCACCGACAUGAGAACCAGAGUUUGGAUGCCCAGAAUCCAUGUAAAAAGCUAGACAUGAUGGCUUGCUUCUCCAAUGCCAGCAAUGGGGAGAUGGAAAAAGAGUCUCGCUGGCCAGUUAAUCUGGCAGAAUCAGUGAGAGACUCUGCCUCAGAAAAGUAAGGCGGAGCAAGAUAGAGGAAGAUGCCCGAUGCUGACCCUUACCUCCACACACUCAGGCACCCAUUCGUCUCACCCCCCAUCACAUACACACAUGUAUAUACCACAUAUAUAUAUACACCAAAAUAUAACAAAUAAGCCAAAUACGCAUUGAAUGAAGAGAUGGACCAUCAUCCAACUGCUAGAAGCAAUAAUUAUGAAGGAAAAGUGACAAUAUGCCAUACGGAAACCUUUUCUUUUAGCUUUCAUUAUUGUUUUCACUCUGUGUGAUAAAUAAAAACCAGCAGGUGGGCAAGAGAGAUGGCUCAGCCGUUAAGAGUGCCUGCUGUUCUUCCAGAGGAUGGGAGCUCAGUUCCAAGCACCCAUAUCUGGCUGCUCACAACCCCCUGCAUCUCUAGCUCCAGGGGAUCCAAUGCCUUCUUCUGGUCUCUGUAGGUACUGCACUCAUGUGCACUUAUCCACACAGACAUAAAUAAAAAUAAAAAUAAAUCUUUAAGACAGGCAAAAUUGAAACAUUAUAUUUUAAAAUCAAAGCAAGAGGGAGAAAAGGUGAAUUUCACGAACUCAGAAAGAACUUGAGAAAACCCUUUACAAGCUGAUAACUGACUUAGUAUCCAGGAGCUGAAGCUGGUGGUUGCUGUCUCUGUGGGACAUCUUCAGUUUGGUACUCUGCUCUGAAAUGGACAAGUCCACUCUGCUCAAAAGCUGAGAAAUCUGGAAAAGAAGAUUGGAUUAUAAAGAUCUCACAUCAUGUCUUCAGGGACCAUUUCAGAAGACAUGCCCUAUGCUCUAUGCUGGCCAAUGGCAUUAAAAGUCACUUUACUAAGUUCAUUUCACCUCCUCUUUCCGUGUAUGUGUGUGUGUGUGUGUGCGCGUGUGCGCGCGCACACACAUGUACUUGUGGAGGCCAGGGGUCAACAGGAGUUGUCUUUCUCAAUCAUUCUCACUUUAUCUUUUGAUGCAGGGUCUCUCACUGAACAUGGAGCUCUCCUAUUGGCUAUCUUUUGA